rnacentral:rRNA from 1 species
GUGAGGAAUAUUGGUCAAUGGGCGGAAGCCUGAACCAGCCAUGCCGCGUGCAGGAAGACGGCCCUACGGGUUGUAAACUGCUUUUCCGGGGGAAGAAUAAGGCCCACGCGUGGGUCGAUGCCGGUACCCCGGGAAUAAGGAUCGGCUAACUCCGUGCCAGCAGCCGCGGUAAUACGGAGGAUCCGAGCGUUAUCCGGAUUUACUGGGUUUAAAGGGUGCGUAGGCGGGCCCCUAAGUCAGCGGUGAAAGGCGGCGGCUCAACCGUCGGACUGCCGUUGAUACUGGGGGCCUUGGAUGCGGUCGAGGCGGGCGGAAUGCGUGGUGUAGCGGUGAAAUGCUUAGAUAUCACGCAGAACGCCGAUUGCGAAGGCAGCUCGCCGGGCCGCGAUCGACGCUGAGGCACGAAAGCGUGGGGAUCGAACAGGAUUAGAAACCCCAGUAGUCC